GUCCGGCCUGGCCGAUCCGGAGCGGCUGGUGCUGUCGGGCGGCUCAUGGGGCGGCUAUCUGACCCUGCUGGGGCUCGGCACCCAGCCGGAUGCC
rnacentral:tRNA from 1 species